rnacentral:rRNA from 1 species
CCUACGGGAGGCAGCAGUGGGGAAUAUUGCACAAUGGGGGAAACCCUGAUGCAGCGACGCCGCGUGAGUGAAGAAGUAUUUCGGUAUGUAAAGCUCUAUCAGCAGGGAAGAAAUAAAGUCCUUCGGACUUUGGACGGUACCUGACUAAGAAGCCCCGGCUAACUACGUGCCAGCAGCCGCGGUAACACGUAGGUGGCAAGCGUUAUCCGGAUUUACUGGGUGUAAAGGGAGCGUAGACGGCAGCGCAAGUCUGGAGUGAAAUCCCAUGGCUUAACCAUGGAACUGCUUUGGAAACUGUGCAGCUGGAGUGCAUGAGAGGUAAGCGGAAUUCCUAGUGUAGCGGUGAAAUGCGUAGAUAUUAGGAGGAACACCAGUGGCGAAGGCAGCUUACUGGACUGUAACUGACGUUGAGGCUCGAAAGCGUGGGGAGCAAACAGGAUUAGAUACCCCGGUAGUC